rnacentral:rRNA from 1 species
UACGUAGGGGGCAAGCGUUGUCCGGAUUCAUUGGGCGUAAAGAGCGUGUAGGCGGCCAGGUAGGUCGGUUGAGAAAACUGGAGGCUCAACCUUCAGAGGUCGACCGAAACCAUCUGGCUAGAGUCCGGGAGAGGAGAGUGGAAUUCCUGGUGUAGCGGUGAAAUGCGCAGAUAUCAGGAAGAACACCCGUGGCGAAAGCGGCUCUCUGGAACGGUACUGACGCUGAGACGCGAAAGCGUGGGGAGCGAACAGG